AUUGAACGCUGGCGGUAGGCCUAACACAUGCAAGUCGAACGGCAGCACAGUAAGGGCUUGCUCUUACGGGUGGCGAGUGGCGGACGGGUGAGGAAUACAUCGGAAUCUACUUUUUCGUGGGGGAUAACGUAGGGAAACUUACGCUAAUACCGCAUACGACCUACGGGUGAAAGCAGGGGAUCUUCGGACCUUGCGCGAUUGAAUGAGCCGAUGUCGGAUUAGCUAGUUGGCGGGGUAAAGGCCCACCAAGGCGACGAUCCGUAGCUGGUCUGAGAGGAUGAUCAGCCACACUGGAACUGAGACACGGUCCAGACUCCUACGGGAGGCAGCAGUGGGGAAUAUUGGACAAUGGGCGCAAGCCUGAUCCAGCCAUACCGCGUGGGUGAAGAAGGCCUUCGGGUUGUAAAGCCCUUUUGUUGGGAAAGAAAAGCAGCAGGUUAAUACACCGCUGUUAUGACGGUACCCAAAGAAUAAGCACCGGCUAACUUCGUG
rnacentral:rRNA from 1 species